AACCGUGGCUGCCGAGAGCACCUUACAAGCCAGGCAUCCUCCUCUGAGCUCAAGGCAGCCUUGAGAAGUGGGACGAAGACUUCCUUCACGGGAAGAGGAGCGGCUCAGAGAAAGGAAGAGGCUAGUCCAGAACCACCACGUGGACAUCUUCUGUGAAGGCCCUGGGGUGAAGGGCACAGGUGGGAUUCAGAAUAGAAAUGACUCGAGGGACGCAAGGAGUUGGGAUCAGAAGAAGCAGCAGAAACUCCUGCUCUGCAGACACAGCAGACAUUACUGGGAAAGACACCAGAGACCCAGGAGUUCACCCAAGUCCUCUGCACACUGUCUUCCCAGCCCUCUCUCCUGGAU
rnacentral:lncRNA from 1 species